rnacentral:rRNA from 1 species
GAUGAACGCUAGCGGCAGGCCUAACACAUGCAAGUCGAGGGGUAACGAUGUCUUCGGACAGUCGACGACCGGCGCACGGGUGAGUAUCGCGUUUGUAACCUACCUUUAACUGGAGAAUAGCCCGAAGAAAUUCGGAUUAAUACUCCAUAAUACUAUGAUCUGGCAUCUUUUUAUAGUUAAGGCUCCGGCGGUUAAAGAUGGGCAUGCGUAACAUUAGUUUGUUGGUGAGGUAACGGCUCACCAAGUCAGCGAUGUCUAGGGGUUCUGAGAGGAUUUUCCCCCACACUGGUACUGAGACACGGACCAGACUCCUACGGGAGGCAGCAGUAAGGAAUAUUGGUCAAUGGGCGAAAGCCUGAACCAGCCAUGCCGCGUGCAGGAUGACAGCCCUAUGGGUUGUAAACUGCUUUUAUCAGGGAAUAAACCUAUCUACGUGUAGAUAGC